GAUGAAAGAACGUAGUGAAAUGCGAUAAGUAAUGUGAAUUGCAGAAUUCAGUGAAUCAUCGAAUCUUUGAACGCACAUUGCGCCCUCUGGUAUUCCGGGGGGCAUGCCUGUUCGAGCGUCAUUAUAACCACUCAAGCUCUCGCUUGGUAUUGGGGUUCGCGGUUUCGCGGCCCCUAAAAUCAGUGGCGGUGCCUGUCGGCUCUACGCGUAGUAAUACUUCUCGCGAUUGAGUUCGAUAGGUCUACUUGCCAGUAACCCCCAAUUUUUACAGGUUGACCUCGGAUCAGGUAGGGAUACCCGCUGAACUUAAGCAUAUCAAUAGCGGAGGA
rnacentral:misc_RNA from 1 species